UACGAAGGGGGGCUAGCGUUGCUCGGAAUCACUGGGCGUAAAGGGCGCGUAGGCGGCCAUUCAAGUCAGGGGGUGAAAGCCUGUGGCUCAACCACAGAAUUGCCUUUGAUACUGUUUGGCUAGAGACCGGAAGAGGUAAGUGGAACUGCGAGUGUAGAGGUGAAAUUCGUAGAUAUUCGCAAGAACACCAGUGGCGAAGGCGGCUUACUGGCCGGUUCUGACGCUGAGGCGCGAAAGCGUGGGGAGCAAACAGG
rnacentral:rRNA from 1 species